UUGCUGUAUUAUGAAGUAGUUCUAUUUUUAACUUUUUGAAGAAUCUCUAUACUGUUUUCCACAGUGGCUGUACCAGUUGGCAUUUCCACCAACAUUGCACGAGGGUCCCUUUUUCUCCACAUCCUCACCAACACCUGUUGAAAUCCCUUUUUAAAACAAUCCUAGUGAGAUUAAGUGGCAAGCAAUUAUAUGCACUCAUAAAAGAUGAUGUGUUGGGGGCACCUGGGUGGUUCAUUUUGUUGAACGUCCGACUCCAGCUCAGGUUAUGAUCUCACAGUUUAUGAGUUCAAGCCCCACA